GUACUUGCUUUGGCAGCACAGAUACUAAUAUUGGAAUGAUGCAGAGAAGAUUAGCAUGGCCCCUGUGCAAGGAUGACAUGGAAAUUCGCGAAGCGUUCCAUAUUUUU
ensembl:snRNA U6 U6 spliceosomal RNA